rnacentral:sRNA from 1 species
GAAAUAUUUAAGAAAA